GACGAACGCUGGCGGCGUGCUUAACACAUGCAAGUCGAACGGAAAGGCCCUGCUUUUGUGGGGUGCUCGAGUGGCGAACGGGUGAGUAACACGUGAGUAACCUGCCCUUGACUUUGGGAUAACUUCAGGAAACUGGGGCUAAUACCGGAUAGUAGCUCCUGCUGCAUGGUGGGGGUUGGAAAGUUUCGGCGGUUGGGGAUGUACUCGCGGCUUAUCAGCUUGUUGGUGGGGUAGUGGCUUACCAAGGCUUUGACGGGUAGCCGGCCUGAGAGGGUGACCGGCCACAUUGGGACUGAGAUACGGCCCAGACUCCUACGGGAGGCAGAAGUGGGGAAUAUUGCACAAUGGGCGGAAGCCUGAUGCAGCAACGCCGCGUGCGGGAUGACGGCCUUCGGGUUGUAAACCGCUUUCGCCUGUGACGAAGCGUGAGUGACGGUAAUGGGUAAAGAAGCACCGGCUAACUACGUG
rnacentral:rRNA from 1 species